rnacentral:rRNA from 1 species
GAUCAGGUAGGGAUACCCGCUGAACUUAAGCAUAUCAUUAAAGCGGAGGAA